rnacentral:lncRNA from 1 species
GAAUCCUGAAUGCCGCAGCGGCGCAGCCGCCUCGGCUGCUUCCCGUCGGGCGGCGCUCCCAUGGAAGGAUGGGGAUUGGUUCCGUUAACGCAGAUGGUGCGUAUUUCUUCAGGCCUUAGAUCCAUGAGAGUUCCAGUGCGCCAUUGAUUAAUAGGGUUUAUCCAGAUCUCCACUGUGGAAUGUGGAUUGUGAUUGAGAGUAUUGCUUCCUGGUUGGUGGUGGUGUGCAGGUUUCGCCUUGGCCUGGGGCUUUCCAUGAAUAAGGCGGCGCCGGCGUGCUUUGCUGCUUUGGACAACGCAGCAGCGGAUGCCCUUCAAAGUUCAAACUCGUCACCUGUAAGCAGACUGCUUCUUUCCUAUGCAAUGCUAUCAAAUGAUAGGAUUUGGCCAAACGAUUUGCAUUUAUUAGUCUGCAAAUUUCAGAGCAAGCCAAGGCUGCAGUAGCAGAAAUAGUUAAGUUUCUGAAAUAUGGAUGUAUGGAAGCAUUCCUUUUAUGCAACCAAGCAACAAAGAAAAUGCUGGUUACAAUGUAUUGCUCAGAACAUUUUCUGUGUAUAAAUUUGAAUUGCUAAUGUAUAAGUGUACAACUACAAGCUACAGAAGUUUAUAGACUAAACAGGGAAUGGUGUAAUAAACAUUUAACGUCCCUCUAGUGCUGUGAUACUCACGUUAUUUACAGAUCUUUCCUUGUUUUCUCUAGUGUCUUUAGUUCCAUAGACCCUAGCUGUCAAAUAAGCAGACUCCUUUGGGGUAGGAAGAGCAGCUGUCUCGUUCUCUAACAUGAACACAAUGGAUGACAUGAGUGGCCUGGCAGUUGGGUCAUCUUGAACACAUGAAAGUGCUAUUUGAAUACAUCGUAAAACUUCGUGAAGUAGACAACUCUCCCGAAUUGAUGAGUCCACCAAAUCCAUUGCAUUUCCAUCUUUCCAUAAACUCCACGCCUGAACCAAGAUAUACAAGAAAGUUGUGGUCAAUUUAUUUUGCAAUGUUUUACUGAUUAAAAUGUUGAGGAUUGCAGUCCACUUACGAAGGUUAUAAGAUUUUGGAAAUCCAUUAUGAGAUGGGGCGAACUGAUCUUUAAGCCACUUACAAGCUCCAACAGUAGCACCCCAAAACUGUAGGUGUCAGACUUGACAGAAAAGGAGCCUUCCAAAGCAUAUUCAGGAGACAUGUAACCGCUGUUUAGAUCAUUCCAAAAACAAUGUAAUGUGCAGUUUGAAUUAGUUAUAAUGAAAACAUAUAUCAUUAGGUGGUCUACAGGUUACUUACUAUGUCCCAACUACUCUGGUAGUAUUUUCUUGUUGCUUAUUUCCUUCAAAGAUCCUUGCCAUCCCAAAAUCUGAUAUUUUGGGACUCAUAUUUGUGUCCAACAAGAUGUUGCUUGCUUUGAGAUCCCUGUGAAUUAUCGUUAACCUUGAAUCUUGGUGCAAAUAAAGAAGCCCUCUCGCUAUACCUUUGAUUAUCAUGAACCGGGUCGUCCAAUCGAGAACUGAUUUUCUUUUAGCAUCUUCCAAGAUUAAUGUGAAACAAAGUUAAUUGUCAUUAACCAUGAAUAUCCUCAAGAAUGUUUGUAUUAUACGACCACAAAUAAGUGAGUAACAACGUACCAAAAAGGAAAGUAUCCAAGCUUUUAUUAGGCAAGUAUUCGUAGAUGAGUAACUUCUCAUCUUCGUGAAUGCAAUAACUGAUAAGCCUAACUAAAUUUCUAUGCUGCAAUUUGGCAAUCAGAACUACUUCAUUUCUGAACUCCUCCACACCUUGCUGAGAACCCUUACUAAGCCUUUUGACUGCAAUCUCCUUGCCACCUUCCAACACUCCCUGCACAAGCACACACUCUUUCAAUUGAACAAGAGAAUAUAAAAGAUAUUUCUUCUGAAAUUGCCAAGGUAAAACCUUUUGUACCUUGUAAACUUUUCCAAAACCACCUUUCCCAAGCAUGUUGUGAUCAGAAAAAUUGUUCGUUGCAGUGACAAUGUCUUCUAAGCAAAUAAAUGGAAGUUCUAGAUUGUCAUUCUCAAGUUCACUGGAAUCCUUCAAAUGUUGUAGUCUAUGUUUCUUCUGAAUUUCCUUGCUUCGGUGUAUGCCUGGCAGGAAAGCCUUUCAUAUAAAUUGUUACCUUAGAAACAAUGCAGCCUGAAAAGCUUAGUUGGUGUUGGCCUACCUCUUGAUUUGCAUAUCCACGCAAGACAUAUGCACAUGAGUAUCAACAGGCUUGUUAUAACCGGAAGUACGAUCUUCGGGAUGUCACUCUUCUUCUUGUUAACUGCAGAAUACGGCCCACCAAGAGAACACGGAUUAUAAAAUUUGAGGUUGAUAUGGAGUAGCACAUUGGAUAUAUGUUCUUUUUCCUUUAACAGAAGGUAUAUAUUCCUUUUUUGUUUUCUUCAGAAGAGUCCUAUCAAGUAGUGAACAUUUUUUUGUUCGUGGAAAAUCUUGGCCUGGCAAGACCUCUGCAUAUUCAGUUCUUCAGAAAUUCUAUACCAUGCCUUGCAAGUGUAUAUAUGGAUGUUGCUUUUAAUUCGAUGAGCAGGCUAUCUAAUUAAGAGCUUUAUUUUCACCGCAG